rnacentral:SRP_RNA from 1 species
CCGUGCUAGAUGGGGAGGUAGCGGUGCCCUGUACCUGCAACCCGCUGUAGCAGGAUCGAAUUCCUGUCAGAGGCUUUUUUCUUGUAAGGCCUGCCCAUCGCAAGUGGCAAUGAAAGCUGGGUCCUGCGCAACGAAAAUCUGUGAACCCCGCCAGGUUCGGAAGAAAGCAACGGUAAGCAGACCCUUUCGUGUGCCGCAGGGUCGCCUGGUUAGAGUUAACUACGGUGGUAACGCUUGUAGGAAUAAGUCGAAGACAGGUGCACGG